rnacentral:rRNA from 1 species
UACAGAGGUCUCAAGCGUUGUUCGGAUUCAUUGGGCGUAAAGGGUGUGUAGGUGGCGCCGUAAGUCGGGUGUGAAAUUUCGGAGCUUAACUCCGAAACUGCAUUCGAUACUGCGGUGCUUGAGGACUGGAGAGGAGAGCGGAAUUCCCGGUGUAGCGGUAAUAUGCGUAGAUAUCGGGAGGAACACCAGUGGCGAAGGCGGCUCUCUGGGGUAUUUCUGACGCUGGAGGCACGAAAGCCAGGGGAGCGAACGGG